rfam:Camelus ferus unplaced genomic scaffold scaffold197, whole genome shotgun sequence.
GAGGGUAGAGCUCAGUGGUAGAGCACGAGCUUAGCAUGCAUGAGGUCCUGGGGUCAAUCCCUUGCACCUCCA